UACGGAGGGUGCAAGCGUUAUCCGGAUUCACUGGGUUUAAAGGGUGCGUAGGCGGGCAGGUAAGUCAGUGGUGAAAUCUUCGAGCUUAACUCGGAAACUGCCGUUGAUACUAUCUGUCUUGAAUACCGUGGAGGUGAGCGGAAUAUGUCAUGUAGCGGUGAAAUGCUUAGAUAUGACAUAGAACACCAAUUGCGAAGGCAGCUCGCUACACGAAUAUUGACUCUGAGGCACGAAAGCGUGGGGAUCAAACAGG
rnacentral:rRNA from 1 species